rfam:Tupaia chinensis contig173119, whole genome shotgun sequence.
CCAAAGGCUCUUUUCAGAGCCAAACCAAGACUUCCAAAAGAUGCUGU